UAAGCGCUGGAAACGGCGUCUAAUACUGGAUAUGUGACGGACCUGCAUGGGUACCGUCUGGAAAGUUUUUCGGUUUGGGAUGGGCUCGCGGCCUAUCAGCUUGUUGGUGAGGUAAUGGCUCACCAAGGCGACGACGGGUAGCCGGCCUGAGAGGGCGACCGGCCACACUGGGACUGAGACACGGCCCAGACUCCUACGGGAGGCAGCAGUGGGGAAUAUUGCACAAUGGGCGAAAGCCUGAUGCAGCGACGCCGCGUGAGGGAUGACGGCCUUCGGGUUGUAAACCUCUUUCAGCAGGGAAGAAGCGAAAGUGACGGUACCUGCAGAAGAAGCACCGGCUAACUACGUGCCAGCAGCCGCGGUAAUACGUAGGGUGCGAGCGUUGUCCGGAAUUAUUGGGCGUAAAGAGCUUGUAGGCGGUUUGUCGCGUCUGCUGUGAAAAUCCGGGGCUCAACCCCGGACUUGCAGUGGGUACGGGCAGACUAGAGUGUGGUAGGGGAGACUGGAAUUCCUGGUGUAGCGGUGAAAUGCGCAGAUAUCAGGAGGAACACCGAUGGCGAAGGCAGGUCUCUGGGCCACUACUGACGCUGAGAAGCGAAAGCAUGGGGAGCGAACAGGAUUAGAUACCCUGGUAGUCCAUGCCGUAAACGUUGGGCGCUAGGUGUGGGACUCAUUCCACGAGUUCCGUGCCGCACGUAACGCAUUAAGCGCCCCGCCUGGGGAGUACGGCCGCAAGGCUAAAACUCAAAGGAAUUGACGGGGGCCCGCACAAGCGGCGGAGCAUGCGGAUUAAUUCGAUGCAACGCGAAGAACCUUACCAAGGCUUGACAUAUACCGGAAACUUCCAGAGAUGGUUGCCCCUUUGGGUCGGUAUACAGGUGGUGCAUGGUUGUCGUCAGCUCGUGUCGUGAGAUGUUGGGUUAAGUCCCGCAACGAGCGCAACCCUCGUUCUAUGUUGCCAGCACGUAAUGGUGGGGACUCAUGGAAGACUGCCGGGGUCAACUCGGAGGAAGGUGGGGAUGACGUCAAAUCAUCAUGCCCCUUAUGUCUUGGGCUUCACGCAUGCUACAAUGGCCGGUACAAAGGGCUCCGAUACCGCAAGGUGGAGCGAAUCCCAAAAAACCGGUCUCAGUUCGGAUUGGGGUCUGCAACUC
rnacentral:rRNA from 1 species